CCUGCCCUGUGACAAUGUUUAACGGCCGCGGUAUUUUGACCGUGCGAAGGUAGCGUAAUCACUUGUCUUUUAAAUGAAGACCUGUAUGAAAGGCAUCACGAGAGUUUAACUGUCUCUAUUUUCUAAUCAAUGAAAUUGAUCUUCUCGUGCAGAAGCGAGAAUAUUACCAUUAGACGAGAAGACCCUAUGGAGCUUCAAACACUUAAAUUAAUUAUGUAAAAUCAUAAUCCUUAGGGAAAAAUCAUUCAUAUAAUAUUCCUAAUUUAACUGUUUUUGGUUGGGGUGACCGGGGGGGAAAGAAAAUCCCCCUCAUCGACUGAGUACUAAGUACUUAAAAAUUAGAACGACAGUUCUGAUUAAUAAAACAUUUACCGAAAAAUGACCCAGAUUUUUCUGAUCAAUGAACCAAGUUACCCUAGGGAUAACAGCGCAAUCCUUUCCCAGAGUCCCUAUCGCCGAAAGGGUUUACGACCUCGAUGUUGGAUCAGGACAUCCUAAU
rnacentral:rRNA from 1 species